rnacentral:rRNA from 1 species
UACGGAGGGUGCGAGCGUUGUCCGGAAUCAUUGGGCGUAAAGGGUGCGUAGGUGGUGAGGUAAGUCCGAUGUGAAAGCUCCGAGCUCAACUCGGAAAUUGCAUUAGAAACUACCUUGCUAGAGGGUUGGAGGGGGGACUGGAAUUCUCGGUGUAGCAGUGAAAUGCGUAGAUAUCGAGAGGAACACCAGUGGCGAAGGCGAGUCCCUGGACAACUCCUGACACUGAGGCACGAAAGCUAGGGGAGCAAACAGG